AGCGCAUAUGCCACCACGUGGCCCGCCUUCCAAGCUGGCCAUGCGGGUUCGAUUCCCGUCACCCGCUCCA
rnacentral:tRNA from 1 species